rnacentral:tRNA from 1 species
AAGAAAGUGACAGAGUGGUGAUGUGGCUGGCUUGAAACCAGCAUAUGGGGGUUCGAUUCCUUCCUUUCUUG